AGAGUUUGAUCCUGGCUCAGGACGAACGCUGGCGGCGUGCUUAACACAUGCAAGUCGAGCGAAGCACUUCAGGUAGCUUGCUACCUGAUUUGACUGAGCGGCGAACGGGUGAGUAACACGUGGGUGAUCUGCCUGGAAGCCUGGGAUAACAGUUGGAAACGGCUGCUAAUACCGGAUGAUGUUUUAGCUGUAGGAGCUAAAACCAAAGCGCUAUGUAGCGCUUCCAGAUGAGCCCGCGUCCCAUUAGCUAGUUGGUGGGGUAAUGGCCUACCAAGGCGACGAUGGGUAGCCGGUCUGAGAGGAUGGUCGGCCACACUGGGACUGAGACACGGCCCAGACUCCUACGGGAGGCAGCAGUGGGGAAUUUUGCGCAAUGGGGGCAACCCUGACGCAGCGACGCCGCGUGAGUGAUGAAGGCCUUCGGGUUGUAAAACUCUGUCUAGAGGGAAGAUAGUGACGGUACCUCUGGAGGAAGCCCCGGCUAACUACGUGCCAGCAGCCGCGGUAAGACGUAGGGGGCGAGCGUUGUCCGGAAUUACUGGGCGUAAAGGGCGUGUAGGCGGCCUGCUAAGUCAGCUGUGAAAUCCCCCGGCUCAACUGGGGGCCUGCAGUUGAUACUAACAGGCUUGAGUGCAGGAGAGGAAGGUGGAAUUCC
rnacentral:rRNA from 1 species